rnacentral:lncRNA from 1 species
AGUCGUGUCUCUAAGGAAAAAACAGUAGAAAAUUAUAUAUAUAUAUAUAUAUAUAGGAAGAUCGAGCAUCAUCUUCAAAACAAAACCAAGCUUCUUAUCAUUAACGAAUCUACUCUUCUCACAAUUCCUUGUUUAGUUAUUUCUCAACUAUGGAUUCUUCCUCUGGUGCACCAGGUGUGUAUAUAUAUAGGAGUUUUGGUUAUUUGAGAUUCAUGUAAUUAACUAAUUUAACCUUGAAGGAAAUUAACAUAUCUUGUACUCCUCAUUCAGUUCGUGGGUAUCCGGCCCAGCAAGGCUACGCCAAAACGGUAUAGAAAUAAUCAGUCAUUAACUGUAAAGAUCCUGAUUUAAAGAAAAAUCAUUCUAAUUUCUUGAUUAAUUUUCUUCAUCAGAUUAGGACCAGCAAUAUAAAAGGGACAAAAGAACAAGAGGGCGAUAAAUCAAACACGGAAGGUUCGAAGAAAAAAAAGAUACCAAUCACCAAAACGUGAGAAAGUCGAAAGAUGAGGAUGCAUGUUUUCUUAUGUGGUUAUUGUGGAUUUUCCAAAGUACCCUUUGUAUAAUAUUGAAUAAUUUGAAUCUACGUUGGAAGAAUCUUUCUUCCUCUAAUCUUUUCUGGAUCAUAUUUUUACUUAUUUUCUGCAACUUUUGUACCAAGUAUUUAUUGUAACUUUCCAUAUGUUCUCCUAUUUUCUUAAUGCUCUUCCUUUCUCUAUCUUCCAUUCCCCCAAAACUUUUAUAAUAUUACAAAUUUUCUAUUAAAAAAAAAACAAUUUCCACAAAAAAGUUCUUACUCUUUCAUUUUUUUUUUUCGGAUCUAGAGAGUCCAAUUUAAUUUCUUAUUGUCUUGA